AUUGCAGGAUAUAGUGCUUUUUCUCUCUUUAUUCUUUUAUUUCAGGAUAUGGUGCUUUUUCUGCGUUAGGCCUCUUGAGUCUAACGUGAUAGGAGGAGUACGUGAUAAUCUAAGAUCAUGCAGGUGCUCAUCCAGGAAGCAGCUGACCUAAAAACAGGACUGUUUUUGAAAAGACAAAUCUACCUGUAUGAGCUGUCACUUCUGCCUCAUCUCUCCUCGGAAGAGAACAAAAGUGAAGAAAGGUGUCAGAAAGCAAAGAAGACUCAGUCCUGGUGUUCCUUACAGAGGGACUUCACUUCCAGAGGCCACCAAGACAAGUGAAAUCAACAUAAAUGCACAGGAACACCUCGAGGUGCUGGAGAAGACAGAGCAGGGGAGCUGAACGGCCAAUGCAGAUGUGAUUUCCUCAAAAUGUUUUGUCUUAAAGCUUAUCUCAAGGUAUGAUGAAAACAAGUGGUGGGAAGAAAAAAAGCCUAACAGACACAGAAAAUACAGCCAUUAGGCCAAAUAGUGGCAGUCAGAUAACCUUUUAAGGCCAGUUUCUGAGGUGCAUUAAAACUGCAACAGGAAAAAGGUAGAACUGGGCCUAUGUCUUUGUGUCCAAGGUGUAACAUUAUGAGCAGUUGGCCUGAAAUGUCUUCCAAGAAUGUGCUGAUUCCCACUGUGAAUCUGGAGAGCUUCCUUUGGUGAACUGCAAACUUUCUGCAGACAAACUGUGGCUCUCAUUUGUGUUUCAGUGGUGUGGCUGAAACAUCUGAGACACCCAAGGGCCCCUUGCAGCAGACGAAACCUAAACCUGAAUAGGUCCAUUGAACUGUUUCCAUCAACCAAAAUAUGGCCAUUCCUCCACAAUUUUUAUGCAGGUAUAGCCAAGAGAAAGAGAAUUCCUACUCUGAACUUUGUCUUUUCUCUUCAGCAGGCUGACAGUCUUGCUUUGCUUGAACUUAUUUAUUUUUUUGUCUUUGUGUAUUGAAAAAUCACCUUUUGCUGUUGUUCCUGUUACAUAAAAUCAGCAGUGCAUGCACAAUUAACCAUUGUAGGGUUUUCCAAAAGAAG
rnacentral:lncRNA from 1 species